rnacentral:rRNA from 1 species
UACGGGGGGGGCAAGCGUUGUUCGGAAUUACUGGGCGUAAAGGGCUCGUAGGUGGCCAACUAAGUCGGACGUGAAAUCCCUCGGCUUAACCGGGGAACUGCAUCCGAUACUGGAUGGCUUGAGUUCGGGAGAGGGAUGCGGAAUUCCAGGUGUAGCGGGUGAAAUGCGUAGAUAUCUGGAGGAACACCGGUGGCGAAGGCGGCAUCCUGGACCGACACUGACGCUGAGGAGCGAAAGCCAGGGGAGCAAACGGG